AGAGUUUNGAUUCCUGGNCUCAGAACGAACGCUGGCGGCAGGCUUAACACAUGCAAGUCGAACGCCCCGUCAAGGGGAGUGGCAGACGGGUGAGUAACGCGUGGGAACGUACCCUUCGGUUCGGAAUAACCCGGGGAAACUCGGGCUAAUACCGGAUACGUCCGCAAGGAGAAAGAUUUAUCGCCGAAGGAUCGGCCCGCGUCGGAUUAGCUAGUUGGUGAGGUAACGGCCCACCAAGGCGACGAUCCGUAGCUGGUCUGCAGAGGAUGAUCAGCCACACUGGGACUGAGACACGGCCCAUACUCCUACGGGAGGCAGCAGUGGGGAAUAUUGGACAAUGGGCGAAAGCCUGGAUCCAGCCAUGCCGCGUGAGUGAAGAAGGCCUUACGGUUGUAAAGCUCUUUCAGNCGGGGAAGAUAAUGACNGUACCCGCAGAAGAAGUCCCGGNCUAACUUCGUUGCCAGCCANCCGCNGUAAUACGAAGGGNGACUACCGUUUGUUUCGGAUUUCCUUGUGGGCGUUAAAGCGCNGGGUAGUGCGGGAUNCGCCUCACCUCAGNGGGGUUGAAAUUCCNCAGCGGNCUCAACCCCNUGGGAANCUUNCCUCUUCANUACUGGAACGGGNUCCUGGNAGNAUCUGGNANNAGGUUCGGGUGNGAAUUCC
rnacentral:rRNA from 1 species